GACUCAGUGGUCCAAUGGUAAAGCGGUUGUUGCAGAGCCAGAGGGUCCUGGGUUCAAUUCCCAAUAGGAUCA
rnacentral:tRNA from 1 species